rnacentral:rRNA from 1 species
AGCAUAUCAAUAAGCGGAGGAAAAGAAACCAACAGGGAUUGCCCCAGUAACGGCGAGUGAAGCGGCAACAGCUCAAAUUUGAAAUCUGGCCCCUAGGGUCCGAGUUGUAAUUUGUAGAGGAUGCUUUUGGUGAGGUGCCGCCCGAGUUCCCUGGAACGGGACGCCGCAGAGGGUGAGAGCCCCGUCUGGCUGGCCACCGAGCCUCUGUAAAGCUCCUUCGACGAGUCGAGUAGUUUGGGAAUGCUGCUCAAAAUGGGAGGUAUAUGUCUUCUAAAGCUAAAUAUUGGCCAGAGACCGAUAGCGCACAAGUAGAGUGAUCGAAAGAUGAAAAGCACCUUGAAAAGAGGGUUAAACAGUACGUGAAAUUGUUGAAAGGGAAGCGCUUGUGACCAGACUUGGGCGCGGCGGAUCAUCCGGGGUUCUCCCCGGUGCACUUCGCCGCGUUCAGGCCAGCAUCAGUUCGGCGCGGGGGAAAAAGGCUUCGGGAACGUGGCUCCUCCGGGAGUGUUAUAGCCCGUUGCAUAAUACCCUGCGCUGGACUGAGGACCGCGCAUCUGCAAGGAUGCUGGCGUAAUGGUCACCAGCGACCCGUC